GACAGAGGCCUCGAGCGUUAGGCGGAAUCACUGGGCUUAAAGCGUGUGUAGGCGGGCCCGUAAGUGUCUUGUGAAAUCCCACGGCUCAACCGUGGAACUGCUGGGCAUACUGGCGGGUCUUGGGCCAACUAGGGGCAGCCGGGAACAAGCGGUGGAGCGGUGAAAUGCGUAGAUAUCGCUUGGAACGCCGAAGGUGAAAACAGGCUGCUGGGGUUGCGCCGACGCUGAGACACGAAAGCCAGGGGAGCAAACGGGG
rnacentral:rRNA from 1 species